CUGACUUACACUUCCUGCUCUAGGAGUGACUGGCUGGCUAUCCACUGUGUAUAAAGGUUCUCGAAGCUUACAAGUGAAGGGGUAACUGUGACGACAUUCCUAUGCGAACCAGCUUCCUUUUUAUUUUUGAGGAGGACUGAGGCUGCUUUCCCGAAUGUGAGAAAGUCAAAGCACCACCUGGCACAAUGAGUUUCUUUGCUCGAAUUCUGGCAGAACCUGUGGCCGGUACAAGGAAGACUUAGGUCUGCACUAGCUGGUAAGGAGAUACCACAAAGGCAGAGUGCAUAUCUCUUAACCUUGGUCACUGGAGAGUAAUCGACUGCUACAUAGCUGGCAGGGGAAGGACUGCCAAUGCCAAAACACACAGAUGAGUGCUCCCUGACAUCAGUACUCAGCUGGAAUACAACCCCAAGCCAGGAUGCACGUUACCGCAUAGAUUGUAAAGGAUCGUAUGGGCUUAUUUCGGAAAAUGACCAUCACUUGAGGCAUAAUUUUCAUAAUUUAUAUCUCCUGUUCUAAACAAACAAACUAAAAUUGUAUUGGGUUGGAAUACACGAGAACUGUGGCUUUAUGGGACAGAACUUCUUCUGAAAUUGUUGCACUCGUAGGCUUCAGUUUUCAUCUUUUUCUAGAUUCACAUCUCUGGGUGAGAGUCCAAAUAAGUAUAUUAAUUAUAAUGUUAGAAAUGAAAUUUUAUAAAUUAAAAAGGCUUUUAACUUUAUUAUUCAAAAAAGUCUUGAAAAUAAAAAACAUUACACAACUGAUACUAGCCAGAUCCAAAGUCUAUACGUCUCAGUAAAUUUCUAUACACUUAGAAUGCUCAUCCUGAUGCUGCGGGGCUUCACACGUGGCCUUUACUGACUCACUGCCUAAC
rnacentral:lncRNA from 1 species